UGAAACUUAUUGUGAUAAACAGAAGUAGCAACACCUGCAAAUGUCAAAAAAUGCAUUUGGAAAAAUGCUGAAAUUUAUUUACAGCAAAGGUAGACCCACAUACAUUGCUGCUCAUUGUCAGUAUG